AAAGCAGUCAUGUUCAAGGUCCUGACGUCAAGUGAAGCCUCACUGGAGGCUGCCCUGGAGAAUGAUCUUGAAAGAUAAACCGUGUGUCCAAGAGGCACGGCAUUAGCGAGGGCAAGGAGUCACAGAAAAAUCUGGUAGACACUGCAAAUUCUUGGGCGUGACAAUACAGAAUAUACUGCAUGGAUGUGUGUGUAUGCGUGAGACAGAGAGAGACAGA